rnacentral:rRNA from 1 species
GGGUUGUGAGGUUAAGCGACUAAGCGUACACGGUGGAUGCCCUGGCAGUCAGAGGCGAUGAAGGACGUGCUAAUCUGCGAUAAGCGUCGGUGAGGUGAUAUGAACCGUUAUAACCGGCGAUUUCCGAAUGGGGAAACCCAGUGUGUUUCGACACACUAUCAUUAACUGAAUCCAUAGGUUAAUGAGGCGAACCGGGGGAACUGAAACAUCUAAGUACCCCGAGGAAAAGAAAUCAACCGAGAUUCCCCCAGUAGCGGCGAGCGAACGGGGAGGAGCCCAGAGCCUGAAUCAGUGUGUGUGUUAGUGGAAGCGUCUGGAAAGGCGCGCGAUACAGGGUGACAGCCCCGUACACAAAAAUGCACAUAUUGUGAGCUCGAUGAGUAGGGCGGGACACGUGGUAUCCUGUCUGAAUAUGGGGGGACCAUCCUCCAAGGCUAAAUACUCCUGACUGACCGAUAGUGAACCAGUACCGUGAGGGAAAGGCGAAAAGAACCCCGGCGAGGGGAGUGAAAAAGAACCUGAAACCGUGUACGUACAAGCAGUGGGAGCCUCUUUAUGGGGUGACUGCGUACCUUUUGUAUAAUGGGUCAGCGACUUAUAUUCUGUAGCAAGGUUAACCGAAUAGGGGAGCCGAAGGGAAACCGAGUCUUAACUGGGCGUUAAGUUGCAGGGUAUAGACCCGAAACCCGGUGAUCUAGCCAUGGGCAGGUUGAAGGUUGGGUAACACUAACUGGAGGACCGAACCGACUAAUGUUGAAAAAUUAGCGGAUGACUUGUGGCUGGGGGUGAAAGGCCAAUCAAACCGGGAGAUAGCUGGUUCUCCCCGAAAGCUAUUUAGGUAGCGCCUCGUGAAUUCAUCUCCGGGGGUAGAGCACUGUUUCGGCAAGGGGGUCAUCCCGACUUACCAACCCGAUGCAAACUGCGAAUACCGGAGAAUGUUAUCACGGGAGACACACGGCGGGUGCUAACGUCCGUCGUGAAGAGGGAAACAACCCAGACCGCCAGCUAAGGUCCCAAAGUCAUGGUUAAGUGGGAAACGAUGUGGGAAGGCCCAGACAGCCAGGAUGUUGGCUUAGAAGCAGCCAUCAUUUAAAGAAAGCGUAAUAGCUCACUGGUCGAGUCGGCCUGCGCGGAAGAUGUAACGGGGCUAAACCAUGCA